rnacentral:piRNA from 4 species
UGAGGCCCCGGGUUCGAUCCCCGGCA